rnacentral:rRNA from 1 species
UACGGGAGGCACCAGUAGGGAUUCUUCCCCAAUGGACGAAGUUCUGAUGGAGCAAUGCCGCGUGAGUGAAGAAGGGUUUCGGUUCGUAAAAUUCUGUUAUUAGGGAAGAACAUAUGUGUAAGUAUAGGUGCACAUCUUGACGGUACCUAAUCAGAAAGCCACGGCUAACUACGUGCCAGCAGCCGCGGUA